UACGAAGGGGGCUAGCGUUGCUCGGAAUCACUGGGCGUAAAGCGCACGUAGGCGGAUUGUUAAGUCAGGGGUGGAAUCCUGGAGCUCAACUCCAGAACUGCCUUUGAUACUGGCGAUCUUGAGUCCGGAAGAGGCGAGUGGAAUUCCUAGUGUAGAGGUGAAAUUCGUAGAUAUUCGCAAGAACACCAGUGGCGAAGGCGGCUCACUGGCCCGAUACUGACGCUGAGGCACGAAAGCGUGGGGAGCAAACAGG
rnacentral:rRNA from 1 species